ACACAGUUGUUGACGGUGUAUGUGACUGUGUGAACGGCCAAGACAAGUGCCACCACAAGGCGUCUAUUCUUUUAUAUGGGUAUAGUGUUUUUAUUAAAGAAAAUAUAUAUGCACAUCUUGUCUAGUUCAUCUUUUCAGUUGAAUAAUAUAUGUAAUAAUCUUGAUAAUAAUUUACUUAGAUAUAAGAAUGUUAGCAACACAGACGUGAGAGCUUCUUGGAUUCAGCAUCCAAAGCGAGCUCCACCAUAACAGACCACUACAAUGGAAGAACUAUUUCCACCCCACCAAAUAUAGCCAAUUACAGCUAUGCUAUGGAUUGUAUCUAAAGAGCCUCCAUCUCCAACACUGGAUGUUCCAACUGUAGAAGACUUGCUGCUUGGGGAAGGCUACACAGGAGCUACGGACAAGAUAAAGUGGCUGAAGACGAAUCUUGCAAUCUCCAAAGAGAAAAUAGAGCAGGUUGCACAGAUGACCGCAGGACAAAGGAAUAACCACCUCUGGGCAUUGGUCAGAAAAAACUGUUUGACUGCAUCCAACUUUGGAAAAGUGCUAGCUGCCAUCAGACGAAACAGGUU